GUAUUUACUUAGUACUUACUCUUAUUCUUUUAUAAGUGUAUUAUGAGGAACCUAUUUUUAUUUUCCAUAGAAUUUCUGAGAUUCCUUUUAUAAAUGUAUCUAAUUAGUUUUAUAUUCUGAGCAGAGCAAUGGACAUAUUGAUUUUACAACGACGUGUGUUUGUUUGUAUCUGUUACGGUUACCACAUAUUUUAGAGCAGUAAAAAUGCUUUGACCUUUAAAUUUUAGAGUGAUUACUACAUAUAUUCACCUUUAUGCAGUACCUACAAAAUAGUAAACAUUUACCAGUACAUUAUAUGACAGAUUUAAUAGAAACGAUCAUAUUUAUUAUAAACUAUAUAUUUGUUUUUAUAGUAUAUGAUGGUAAGUAUUUAUGAUUUUUAUAUAAAUUUGUCAUAUCUAAGUAGGUAAGAAAAUAUUCUUGAAGGGUAUCAACCUCCCUAUGGCUAUAUGUUACAAACACUAUUAUCGUAGACCUUAGUUACAUUGCAUUAUAAAAUGGUUACAAAAUCUUUAGAAAGUUUUUUAUGAAAUUUAUGAUCUCAGUGUUAUGGAAUGGGAAAGCUAAGUUAUAGUUUUGUAUUCAGUCUCAAAUCUAUAUUACCUAUAUAUUGUAUUAAAAUAAUUAAUAUUUAUGUUCGUGUUUAUGUUAACAAUACUUGAAUUAUUUAUAUUAAGGGAUAAGAUAGGUACAUGAUAAUAAUUUAUAACUAUUAUAUUAUUGUCAUAUUAAUUUGUAAAUAAAACAUGAUAGUUUAUUGAUCUUAACCUCAAUAAAACAAUAAUCAAAUAAAUUUGUAGUCGUGUACUCGUGUAUUAUAAACGGUUGUUAUGCGAUCAAUUAAAUAUUAUUUCUAACAUUUUUGUAGAUGAUUAUAGUAAGUUGAAAGUAUGUUAUAUUUUCAUGGCACCUAUGUUGAAGAAGGUUUAUUCCAAUUAACAAAACAAUAAAAUUUAACCACACCUAUUUGUUUUUAUUGUAUAGAAUACUUAGGAGAAAUUUACAUAAAAAUGAUUACUGACGGAAUGUUAACAGUUUUAUUUUAUACGAUAAUUUAUUAGAUUAAUCUCACAUGUAUUAUGCCAGUAGACGUAAAGUUUAAGAACUAAGACUCCAACGUUUCUAUAUUGUAUUAAAUAUAUUAUUUAGAUAGUGAAUUGGCAUUUUUUUUAAGUGCGUACAUUCAAUUUUUAGGGACAAAAAAUUGUUAGUUAUAACUUAUUAAAUUUCAAUAUUGGUAUCAAACCACAGUUCGUAAUUUUCAGUUCUAUCUUAUAUUUCUAUUUUAUGACCUUAUAGCAGAACAAUGGAUAUUAUUAAUAUUUUAUAAUUAUUAACUACAAUUUUUAUUUUAUUUCAGUUACUAAAGGUAUGUAAACAGUUUUAUUUUCUAAAAUAUUUCUUAUGGUCUUUAAUCUUUAUUCUUAUAAAGUUUUAUAUUAUUAAAAGUUAGGAAUGUUUGGAUUUUCCAACGAUAUUUUUUCUAUUUAGGAACUGAGAGCUAAACUAUAAUAUACAAAUUAUAAACAAAUAGUUAUUUUAAUUAACAUAAUUAACAUUAUGAGUUGCAUUAUAUAUAAUUAAAAUAAGUAUGCAGUUAUAAUUUUUUUCAUAAUCAGUACAUCGAUGUAGGUACUCGGUGGCUGAGUUUAACGUUUGCGCAUUGUUAGUGACCCAAGUAGGUACUACAUUUUGGAAGUCAUUUGCGCAUUAUGUGUUUAACAACGCUGUAUUUGUAUUUUGUGCGUUAGAUAUCAUCGAUACUGUUAUAACUUAUAAUAAUAUGCUGGUAGAGUACAAAACGAAUUUUUAAUAUUUUAAAAUGUAUGUUUGAAUGCAAUGAUGGUAAAACAUAACUUUAUAGAGACCUAUCACCUAGAGAAAACGAUUAUGAACGGGAAUGGUCAGUCAGAUUGAAGUCUAAGGACAUUAUAAUAUAAUUGUAUACAUUGUUUAGGUACUGUUUUAACUUUUAAGUUGUAUUUUGGUUGUACAAUAUUGUAAUCGUGUUUACCAAAAACAAUGACAACUCUCAAGUUGCAACUGUGGUGCGACGUAUCUACAUAAUAAGUUAUAGUUGUUUAUCUUCUAAUAUAAUAUUAUGAGUGAUAGUGAAAAUAUAAUAAUAAUAUGAACUAUGUAUUUUCUAUUUUGUAGAUACUGAGCUGAGUAAUGAAUAUUAUAUUGAUUUUACAAUGAUCUGUAUUUUUUUUUUUUAAAUUUAUGUCUAUAUACAAUAUACAUACCUAAUAAGUAGUCGAAAUAAUUCUCCGAUUUUCAACUACAGUAUAUUGUUCCAUGGAAAGAGAAAUCAGUUUGUGCACUGGGUCAACAUUCAAAACUCCUUAGUUUUAAAAAGCUCCGGAAAAAAUUAAAAAUAAUUAAGGAAAAACGAGAAUUUUUCCGUAAAAUUGGUUUUCGUCAAAAUCGAUUUUGGUUUUUGAUGUAACUCUAAAACAAUUUACUGUAGCUACUAGAUAUUUGAACUAUACGUUUAUAUUAGCAUUUUCUAUACAAGAUAUAAUUUUAAUCAUAUGUUGACUCAUGUUGAGCUAUUUAAAGGCAUAUGCAAUUUUUGAUCAUUAUUUUUUUAGCUAAUAUCGUUACAAAUAUGUUCGUUUGGUCGAGAAAUUUGAAAAUAUAAUACAAG